UGGGGAAUAUUGCACAAUGGGGGAAACCCUGAUGCAGCGACGCCGCGUGAACGAAGAAGGUAUUCGUAUCGUAAAGUUCUGUCCUAUGGGAAGAUAAUGACAGUACCAUAGAAGAAAGCUCCGGCUAAAAACGUGCCAGCAGCCGCGGUAAUACGUAUGGAGCGAGCGUUGUCCGGAAUUAUUGGGCGUAAAGGGUACGCAGGCGGUUUAAUAAGUCGAAUGUUAAAGAUCGGGGCUCAACCCCGCAAAGCAUUGGAAACUGAUAAACUUGAGUAGUGGAGAGGAAAGUGGAAUUCCUAGUGUAGUGGUGAAAUACGUAGAUAUUAGGAGGAAUACCAGUAGCGAAGGCGACUUUCUGGACACAAACUGACGCUGAGGUACGAAAGCGUGGGGAGCAAACAGG
rnacentral:rRNA from 1 species